CUACAGUUCAGACGAGUGUUCCAUACAGUAUUUGGUGCUGUAAAACUCAGAGCUUUCACACGAGAACAAUGUAGCGGUUUGGUUCGAUCCAGAAUGGAAAAACGUGUCGUGAUACAAAAGUAUUCAGUUCUAUUCGCUCUCGAUCGCUGGUGUGCAUAAUCCAUUAGCUACGAUUGUGAUUCAAUUGCCGGAUGUACGUAUGUGGAAUGUAUUUCAAACGACUAUCGAAAAGCUGUACUGAUGUUUUGAAGGAUUUUGAAGGAAGGAAUUGUUAUCUGGAAACCAUAAACUGCCUUCAUAAUGACUACCCUGAUGCGAUCACGAUUGCUGUCCGUACUAAAGGACGUAACGGUAGUUACGCUGAAGAUGAAACCAGGGACCUGUUGGAGGAGAGCUCGUCAGACGUUUCUUAUACGAUCGUGUUCUUCGCACGCUGCUGCUCCCUAUGGUCCUGCAUAUCGACGAGAUGACCUAAAAGAAGCCUUGCCUUGUAAACUAGCGCUUAGGGUAAGGACUGCGACUUACCAAACCGUUGUGUCCUUGGAGGAGAAAGGUGGAUAACAGCGCCCUGCUGCUAUGCCCGUCGAAUAUGAGUCCGUCGCUAUUUGGAUAAACACUGGUUAACAUUGACAGUUCAUCAUAAUGCAACACGUGCAAGUAAUGGGAAGUUAUGAUGGAAAAACUUUCGAUGCAAGGAAAUGAUGAUAUUUUUCCAAGUAAUUACAGCCAUAGCUAGCCAAGCAUUGUUUUGGAUGUGUGUUUGAAGUGCCUUUGGACUGGAAGCUGGAUUUGAGAAUAUUAUAUAUCGCAUCAUCUUUGGGGACUACGCAGUACUAACUUCGAUCAAAUCAUUCUUAACUAUUUGUAGCAUGUACCCUAGCUGAGCCGAGGAUUUUUAUCUAGAAGAUAGAUAACCAACCUACAAUUGUACAAUGGACAAAGGAUGGGCCAUGAAGAAAGUUUCGGUGAGCCCCAAUUUGAAGAAUUAGAUUGAGUUUUCUAAAGAAUGAUACCCAUGUAACGAUUCAAGCGCAGGGAUUCCAUUGGAACAGUGUGGAAGUUACUAACAGCGACAAGAGGCACAAACGAUCGCACAAUGAAUUACAAAACACUCAAUCAUAUUAUUAAUUUUUAAAAAUACACAAAUUAAAAUAAACAGGAACAUUAAUCAUCAAAUUAAUGAUCCAACUGCAAAAACUCGAAACAUCAUAUCUCAAUUCAUAUCGGCGUGAUUAAAAAUACAUUCGAUCAAUAUUUACUUUCACUUUUAAAAAAUAAUGAACAUCAUGCAAGAUAUAAUGCACAAUAUCACUGUGACGACAGCUAAUAUUCUUAACGAAAACAUAUUAUCAGACUACGCGAUCAAAUGUAGCAGUAGAAAAUGUUUCCUUCGAUAGAACGAAGACGCCCUUUACAAACCCUUUCCUACGCCGACGCCUCCGUAGCCACCAACCACCAUGGGUAAUGCUGUUUAUUAAAACACCAAAGCUCGUUCACAAAACGUUCAGAAAGGUAAGGUUUCACCCGGUUUAAUAUCAUGAAGGCAAAAUCCUCUUGCAAUACGACCGUUAUUUAAUUCUGUAAUAAAUAGUGUAAGAACCUUACACCCGAAAAUCUGCAAUAUCGAUUACCAUUGAUAAAAGGGCACGAAGCCUCAUUCAACUUUUCUGAAAAUUCGGCUUAAUCUGAAACUCUAUAAAUUAUCAAUCGCGCGGAAAUGAUUAAUUUUGUAAAGCUUUGAUACUUAUCACUAAUUGCUGUGUAAAUGAUCGAACACGAAGUUUCGGUCGUGAUAAGUUGCAACACUUGAGAAAUUUACAUCAACGUUGUAAAAUACUUAUCCAAAUUCGCCGAUCUAGUUGGAACUUUAAACUUAUAUCCGCUCGACGGAGUUUGUGUUAGCGACGAUGACAUCAUCGACGAGCAAAAGUUAUGCUGAUGUGGUGAACGUCAGUAGUUAUUGUCGCAAACACCAGGUCAACGUAUGGGUAGCACAGCGAUUGUGGACUGGCGGAGACUUGCGAUAAUAAAGUUGUGCAGUUCGAAUCUGGCAACCAAAAAAUAAACACCUUAUCUUUCCACCGUGAGACUGAAAGAAAAGUUAACUCGCGCUUGGUCUUCGGUUUGCUACUGCAGCAAGAAACCCUUCAUUUUACCAUACACGUGCUCUAUUUCGCAGCUUUCUUGUAAACAUGUUUCAACAGCUGCUACUGAUUCUUUUAAUUCCUUUUAUUUCAGAGUUUGCUUCGUCGGCACGUAUGAAAUCGUCGGCACAGAUAAUGAACAAAUCCCAGGGCGAUACAAAUAAUUCAAAUCCACACGAAGAGGAGAAUUCUGGAAAUGCAUCAAUUACACAAAUUAUUAAUGUGCAACAUCAACGAUAAUAGAACUCUUAGAAUUUAAGAGAAAUCACAUUAAAGCUGAAUUUUCAAAUACACGUUCGAGAAAACGAACGAGAAAGAGAAAUUCACAACGUUGCAGAAUUUAAACAAAUUACCAAAAUUUUUUAAGGGUGAUGCGUUGAGACCCGUAGGUGGACUCAUGCUAAAAUCAGAGAACGUUAAUUAAAUAAUUGAACAACUCGGUAAACUGUAUGGAAAUCCCGCAGGAAUAUACAAGAGAUUGUUGAACGACUUGUUAGCAGUCAAGAAUAUAACGUUCGAAAAUCCGCGAAACUUUUCUAACGCAUUACACAAUAUUUGAACGAUCAAAGAUUUUUAAACGAUCUUCUUUACUAAUUGCCUACAAAUCAAAGAAACAAAUGGAUAACGCACGUGUUGGAGCUUCAAAAAGAAAACGAGGAUUUCAUCGUAUAUUUCAGGCCAUUUCAGGCGUAGUAGCCUUAGUAUCCAUUUAAUUGAAUCCAAAACUAACUAGGUUAAUACCACAUCUCGAAUCGAAGCACUUCAAAAAAAUAUUUUUAUUUUUAUUUAUUUAUCUGUUGUCGGAGACAACAUUCCUAAUUUAAAGCUAGUUAGUUCAAUGCUCUACCUAUUUUCAUGGAGAGCGGCUUGGGGCGGCCCGGUGGCAUGAUCGUAGCAGCGCCUCUCUUUAUACGAACGGACCGGACCCAAAUCCCAUCCGGACCAAUCUCCCAUAGCAAGGACUGACCAUCCGGGGAUGUGGAAAAUAAAAAUCAAAAUCAC